AGAGUUUGAUCCUGGCUCAGGACGAACGCUAGCGGCGUGCCUAAGGUAUGCAAGUCGAACGGGGAGUAGGGCUUGCCCUGCUCCUAGUGGCGAACGGUCGAGUAACACGUAGAUAACCUGCCCUUCAGUGGGGGAUAACAGCGGGAAACUGCUGCUAAUACCGCAUGUGGCGCGGCUGAGCAUUCAGCCAACGCUAAAGGAUUUAUUCGCUGAAGGAUGGGUCUGCGGCCUAUCAGCUAGUUGGUGCGGUAACGGCGCACCAAGGCGACGACGGGUAGCGGGUCUGAGAGGAUGAUCCGCCGGAUGGGGACUGAGACACGGCCCCAACUCCUUCGGGAGGCAGCAAUGAGGAAUCUUGCGCAAUGGGGGAAACCCUGACGCAGCGACGCCGCGUGGGUGAGGAAGUUCUUCGGAAUGUAAAGCCCUUUUGUCGAGGACGAAAUUGACGGUACUCGGCGAAUAAGCCCGGCUAACUACGUGCCAGCAGCCGCGGUA
rnacentral:rRNA from 1 species